GUAGGUAUGCCCAGGUGAGUUUUCUCAAAGUGAAAGGUUCGUUUUGGUUCCUGGAUCCCUGAAGAAGGAGGUUGAGGUGGAGUUAGGGUGUGGGAGAAUUUUUUCCCAUCCUUCCUAAAAAUAUUCAUUAAGUGCCUAUUGGGCUCAGCUCCGGGUGGCCUGGGCACUUUCAAUUUAUAGAAUAAUCUAAAGACAGCAUUGAUCUGGUAUUUUUCUCUGCUGUUUUUCACAUAUUCUAGAACUAUCCUCAUGUGUACAUGUCUUCAGAGUUAAACAAUUGUCACAGUCUACUUACCUACAUGGAUCUAUGAAAUACCUUUUCACAGAAAACAAAGAAGUGACUUUCCUUCCACUGAUUGCCAUAUGGGCCACUUCCUGAACCUGAAAGAGAUGCCGUACCCCGAACACCAGGUCCUCAGCUCUAGCAAAUACAGGAGGGACAAGUUUCAGCCUCCGGCUGUCAGGGAGCAGCAAAUACAGAGCUGACAACAGAGUCGACCUCUUUGAGGCAGAAGCAUUCUGGCGUUUUGCACAGAGGAAACAGAACCAAAGUUGCCCUCGGGCCAAGGGGCUGACUCCUUGACCACUGGGUACACAUCGAUCAUCAUCAAUCAAUCCGAGAAUUUCUCAAAUAUCCACCACAGACUCAGAAAUGGGCAUUUAGGCACAUGGUUCAAGUUUCAGUUUCUUCCAGCAGAUGACAUGUGGGGACCAGCCAGCAAAGCCUACUUAGUGACCUCCAGCAAAAAGUCCACCAGUGAGCUGCGCAGGAUGAGAUCAAAGCUUUGUCUCGGCAGCCAGACCAGAGGAGAUCCUGGUUCUCACUAUGCUCAGAGUCACAUUAAACAAACAAUACCACAGUUUUCACUAAAACCCGUUGAAUUUUAAAUGUACUGUUGACUAAAUUAGGGAGUUAUCGUUCAGUUGAUCUGGUAAUCCAUUUGUCCACCAAACUUCAGAUUUACAAACAAUGGUUUUCUGGGAAAGCCUCUUGAAGCCUGGAUGGUAAAUGUUUACCUUAAAAAAGCAAAAACUGAAGAAGGCAAAAGUGGCCUGGUGAGUAAAACCAAAAGCCUGCAGCAGACGGUCACGUUGCUGGACUGACUGUUUGUUUUGAAAAAUGUUCCCAUUCCGAGCCUUGACAUUGGGGAAAUUAGGAACAUGGUAACCGACUUCCUGUCUAGUAUUUCCCUGGAUUUCCUGGAAUCCAAUUUGAAGUGUCGUUUUCCCCUGAACCACCAAGGAGUUAAACUUUGGCUCUGUUCUCCCAGUGACUAAUAGGCACCGUGUGGCUCUGAGAUCAGCGAGAAAGAAACUGACAGUCGGCGUGGGAAGUGUGCGAGAUUUCAGUGCUCUUGAAAUGCCUUUGAUGGGCAUGGUGAGCGAGCACAAGGAUUAUUGCCACCUAGAGCCCCUGAUUGUGUAAUUUGAUCUUGAAUUCUUGUUUCUCUCUUUGAAUUUUGCUUGAUUUUAAAGGAGGAUCUCGGACUCCUUUGGGGGCUUGAUAUGACUGCAGUGUGUGAGUUAUUCCACGGAGAAUGAUAUUUUAGGCAACAAACUAAUUCCACCACUUUGAAAAACAACCCACUUUGGUUGAAAACAAAGCAGAAUCAAGUGACCUGACCAAAUGGCACUUGACGUGUGUUAGGAAGACUUGUCUUCCCGCUCUUGCUGUUUUCUUUCUUGUGAGAGGAGCCCAAUUAGCAUAACACUCCUGGCUUCUCACCACCCUCCCCCACCCCCAUUCUUCCCUGGGAAGGAGGAGUGGUUUAAGAUGACUGAUGAGUUUGGAAGGAGAAACUAUGCCUCAUACCAUCUUCUCUUCCUUUCUUCUUGGGAGUCAACACUCCUCCCGCAGGGUGGAAAGGAGAGGCCCAUUCUGGCCCAGCUGCCUAUUGCUGAGUGUCCACGUAUGAUUUUGAGCCCAAGUGUCAGGAAGCUCAUUGGCCUGAGAAUGUAAGCCACAUUCUCUAAUAUCAGCCUUAUUAGUAAUAAAGGUUAUUUUCG
ensembl:lncRNA